CGCUGGGCGGGGCGCGCCUUAAACACAUGCAAGUCGCACGAGAAAGUGGGAGCAAUCCAUGAGUACAGUGGCGUACGGGGUGAGUAACACGUGGAUCAUCUGCCCUCAUAGUGGGGAAUACCUCUGGGAAACCGGAGACAAUACCGCAUAAAGCCCGCGAGGGGAAAGCCGAAAGGCGCUGUGAGAGGGAGUCCGCGGCCGAUUAGCUAGAUGGUGAGGUAACGGCCCACCCAUGGGCGGAAGAUCGGUAGGCCGGCCUGAGAGGGCAACACGGCCCACAACUGGCACUGAAACACGGGGCCAGACUCCACUACGGGAGGCAGCAGUGGGGAAUCUUGCACAAUGGAGGAAACUCUGAUGCAGCGACGGCCGCGUGAGCGAUGAAAGCCUUCGGGUGUAAAGCUCUUUUCGGACGGGAAACGAUAAUGGACGGUACCCGGAGAAGAAGCUGCGGCUAACUACGUGCCAGCAGCCGCGGUAAUACGUAGGCAGCGAGCGUUGUUCGGAAUUACUUGGGCGUAAAGAGUGUGUAGGCGGUGCUCCAAGUCCUGGUGUGAAAAUCUCCCGGCUCACUGGGAGGGUGCGCCGGAAAACUGGAGAGUGCUCGGAGGGUGGGAGAGGAAAGGCGGAAUUCCCGGUGUAGCGGUUGAAAUGGCGUAGAUUAUCGGGAGGAAACACCUUGCGGUUGUAGACAGCUUUCUGGACCACCUUCUGACGCUUGAGACACGAAAGGCGUGGGUAGCAAACAGGAUUAGAUACCCUGGUAGUCCCACGGCCCUAAACGAUGCAUACUUGGUGUGAGCCAUUCAUUUGGUUCGUGCCGGAGGCUAACGCGUUAAGUGUAUGCCCGCCUGGGGAGUACGGUCGCAAGGCUGAAAACUCAAAGGGAAUUGACGGGGGCCCGCACAAGCGGUGGAGCAUGUGGUUCAAAUUCGACGCAACGCGAAAGAACCUUACCUGGGCUCGAACGGCUUUAAGAACGAGGGUGGAAAACAUCUUUUUCUUCCCGCAAGGGACUUGAGUCGAGGUGCUGCAUGGCCUGGUCGUCAGCUCGUUGUCGUGAGAUGUUGGGUUAAGUCCCGCAACGAGCGCAACCCCUUGUCCUGUGUUGCCAUCCAUUCAGUUGGGGCACUCGCAGGAGGAACCGCCAGCGAUAAGUUGGAGGAAGGUGGGGAUGAUGUCAAGUCAUCCAUGGCCUUUAUGUCCAGGGCUACACACGUUGCUACAAUGGGGCGGUACAAAGCGCUGCAAACCCGCGAGGGGGGAGCCAAUUCGCAAAAAAAACCGCUCUCAGUUCGGAUCGCAGGCCUGCAACUCCGGCCUGCCGUGAAGCUGGAAUCGCUUAGUAAUGGCCGUAUCAGAACGACGCCGUGAAUACGUUCCCGGGGCCUUGUACACACCCCGCCCGUCACAUCACGAAAGUGGAUUGUACUAGAAGUCCUAAUUAACAGGCCCAAGGUAUGAUUCAUGAUUGGGGUG
rnacentral:rRNA from 1 species